UGGAUAUUGGAGAUAAUCAUUCUUUAAUUUCUGAAAUAAGAACAGUCCUCAUCAACUCCUACAACUUGUUUCCCUACCUGUGGGCUGUCCCUUGCUGCUUGCAUUCUUUAUUUAGGAAAAAUGCUUUCACGACAAACACCCAAGGGAACAUCCUGAAUCUCUAGUCAUAUUUGAAAGGUUUGAAGAGGACAGAUGGGAGAGGAAUAUCUUGCAGUUAUCACAGUCCCUGACAUGUGCUCAGCAUUUUAUCUCU